GUUCGAUCUCUCCUAUGAGCAAUUGCUCGCCGGAGUUCGACAAUAGCAUCAAAGUCCGACGAGGAUUCUGUCGCGACCGAGAAGGAGCAUCAGAACCGCGAGGACCGAGGCUCACCGCCGCCGUGCCAAACUUCGGCCACUUCUGUCCAGUGAAGUAGAAAGCUCCUGAGAUCCUUACGGAGUCCAUAGAAUUCUCCUUCACCAUAUCUCCACCGUUCGCUACUCCAUCGACUCCGGUUCAUCGAAUACACUCCGCUCCGCCCAACUCCGGCGAACCCUCACGACUUUUCCGACGAAGAUUAAAGGUGCGAUAGGUCGUUGUUCUACACUCAGUUUGCGUUGGAGUUGGAUGGACUCAUUUACCUUUGAAGCUUCUCCGCAGUUAUUUUUAUUUAGAUGGCCUUUGGCCAUAUUAUUGUAAUAAAUACUCUUUUGAGAACCUCGAUGUAAUAAAGUGUGAUUGAACUCUGUUAUAA